AUUGAACGCUGGCGGCAUGCUUUACACAUGCCAGUCGAACGGCAGCGCGGGCUUCGGCCUGGCGGCGCGUGGCGAACGGGUGAGUAAUGCAUCGGAACGUGCCCAGUAGUGGGGGAUAGCCCGGCGAAAGCCGGAUUAAUACCGCAUACGACCUGAGGGUGAAAGCGGGUGACCGAAAGGCCUCGCGCUAUUGGAGCGGCCGAUGUCGGAUUAGCUAGUUGGUGGGGUAAAGGCUUACCAAGGCGACGAUCCGUAGCUGGUCUGAGAGGACGACCAGCCACACUGGGACUGAGACACGGCCCAGACUCCUACGGGAGGCAGCAGUGGGGAAUGUUGGACAAUGGGGGCAACCCUGAUCCAGCCAUGCCGCGUGCGGGAAGAAGGCCUUCGGGUUGUAAACCGCUUUUGUUCGGGAAGAAAUCCUCUGGGCUAAUACCCCGGGGGGAUGACGGUACCGGAAGAAUAAGCACCGGCUAACUACGUG
rnacentral:rRNA from 1 species